GGGGACACCACUGAUGGACUCUGAACAGACAGUGACAUCACAAACGGCCACAAAGACAACAGUGAAACAAGGAUGCCAGGCAGGAAGCUAGUGAAGCAGUCCAGCUCUAGAGGACGAUGUGGGUGAGCUCACAGUGGUAGAAGUAAAGGAACGGCUGGGCAGAUUCAAGAUGUAGUUGAGAGAUGCACACAGCAGGACUGUAGGACGUGAGGCAGCGAAGUCCAAGGAAUGACUACAUGUGGGGCCUAGUGAUGACUCAGAGUGAAAUAGCUUUGAUGAUAAGAAGCAAGGUUUGGUUAUAAACAUGCUAAGCUAGAUAUUUAAAACAAGAUGUUAGCUAGAAUACUAACUACCUUCUAGUCAAGUAGAAGACAAAACUGGAGACAUAAACUUUGGACUUAUCAACAUACACAUGAAAUUUCAGACAUGAAAUUGGACCAAAGCCCUCAUGUCUAUGGGUUGAGCCUGGUAACCUUAACUGAGGUCAUAUGAAAACAUUACCACAGUGCUCUAUGGCACCCCCUGACUAUGUGUAAUGAAUUAACUUCCUGCCUGUGCAUCUAGGACAGUACUAUGUCCCCGUCCCCCCCUUCCCCGAGGGGGGGGCGGGGAACUGAGGAAACGAUCCUAAUUUUCUGUGUUCCAUGGUUCAGACAGUUGGGAAAUACUGAUUAUGGCUCUAACGUAGUCAAGGAAAUGAGAAAACGGCAGAAGGGGAAAAUGGCAGUGUCUGCCCCUAAAUUGUAGGCUUCAUUGCUUAGAUGAUCCCUUCAUAACCACUGAAGAGGACCCGUGGACAUGAUACAGGGAAGAUCAGGUUGUAAGGAGACAGGUGACCUUUGAUGGAAGAACAACUCAAGGCAAAUGAAGAGGAUUUUCUGCAGAAAAGCCCUCUGAACCAUCUCAGGGUACAAGAUACAAGAGUUUCAAAUGAUUCCAUGUUUUGAAGAUUAUUAUACCCAGAAUCAUUCUGAAGAGCACAUUAUUAAAUAGUUGUCUUCCAACACUAUACAACUGA